rnacentral:rRNA from 1 species
ACUGACGCUCAUGGACGAAAGCCGGGGGACCGAAAAGGAUUAGAUACGCCUCGUAGUCCCGGCCAUAAUCGGUGUGCACUUGAUGUGGGAGGAUUACCCCCUUCCGUGUAGGAGCUAACGCGUUAAGUGCACCGCCUGGGAAGUACGGCCGCAAGGUUAAUACUCAGAAGGAAUUGACGGGGGCCAGCACAAGCGGUGGAGCAUGUGGCAUAAUUCGAUGCAACGCGAAGAACCUUACCAGGGCUCGACAUGAUACUGCAUACGACCCGAAAGGGACGUAGCCUUCGAGGGUGUAUCACAGGUACUGCAUGGAUGUCGUCAGCUCGUCCCGUGAGGUCUUGGGUUAAGUCCCGCAACGAGCGCAACCCCUGUGCUUAGUUGCCAGCACGUAAUCGAUGGGAACUCUAGGCAGACUGCCUGUGAAAGCAGGAGGAAGGUGGGGAUGACGUCAAGUCAGCAUGGUCAUUAUGUCCUGGAUUGCACACGUGAUACAAUGGGUGGUACAGUAUGGAAGCAAUAUCGCGAGAUGGAGCAGACCGUCACAACCAUCCUCAGUUCGGACGCGAGUGUGAAAUUCGAUUCCAUGAAGUUGGAAUCGCUAGUAAAGGCGUAUCAUCAUUGACGCCUUGAUACGUUGCCGGGCAUUGUACACACACGCCCAGUCACACUCAUUGGAAGUCUAUCUGCACCUCGAAGUCGCUGAUCCAACCCGUCAAGGGGGGGAGGCGCCUGAAGGUGUGACCAGAUAACUGNGGAUGAAGUCGUA